rnacentral:misc_RNA from 1 species
GAUGAAGAACGCAGCGAAAUGCGAUAAGUAAUGUGAAUUGCAGAAUUCAGUGAAUCAUCGAAUCUUUGAACGCACAUUGCGCCCGCCAGUAUUCUGGCGGGCAUGCCUGUUCGAGCGUCAUUUCAACCAUCAAGCCCCCGGCUUGUGUUGGGGACCUGCGGCUGCCGCAGGCCCUGAAAACCAGUGGCGGGCUCGCUAGUCACUCCGAGCGUAGUAAUACAUCUCGCUCAGGGCGUGCUGCGGGUUCCGGCCGUUAAAAAAGCCUUAUUUACCCAAGGUUGACCUCGGAUCAGGUAGGAAGACCCGCUGAACUUAAGCAUAUCAUAAGCGGAGGA